GUUAAAAAGUUGCAGAACAGAGAAUAGUGUUUGUUUUGUUGGCUGUUUUUGAUGGUUUACAGGAAAGUCAUGACUUUACCUAUGUAAAAAGAGGACAAAGGAUCCUGCAAGAAUAAGGAUUCUGACACCAAGAAGUUUGCACCAACCAACCACCGCCCCCUGUCCCCCAACCUUUAGUAUAAAAGAAGCCUAAAUUCUAACUUGGGUAAGAUGAUUCUUUGGGACAGUAGUCUGCCAUCUUCUCUGUCUGCUGACUUUCCAAAUAAAACCACUAAUCCUUGCCCCAACAGCUCAUCUCCCAAUUUAUUGGCCUGUCCUGUAACAAGCAGAACAAGUUUAGACUUGGUAACAGAUCGGAGGCCCUACAGUACAACAUGGCUUAUGUAAUCUGGGCCCUGUUAAACAUGUCUGGCCAUUUUUAAUCUAAGAGUAUGAUUCUUUGUUGUGUUAAGUACAAUGGGCCUUGCUGCAGCACAGCAAGGAACUGGGUACAGCUCUGCCAUUGGGGCCUUUAGGGAAAGUGCUUGGUAGUACAAACAGCAACAGUUAGCAGGUUUGGAGAGCUUACUCUCCUCUGUCCCAGGCACUGAAAGAAAAAUAGAUGUUUUUUUCCCCAUGGGUUCUAUUCCCAAGAGGCUGAAGCCCAUCUGUUCUCUUUUACUGGCCCCUCCCUCCCUGUCUUCUCCAGGCACCGUGCAGCCCCACUAAGCCCCUACCGGUUAGGAAGUGCCUGAUUCUGUAAAAGGACCGCAGUGUCCUCAGUGUGUUGCAAGCCUGGUCCUACGUUGAAUGGUGGAUGAAGACGCAGGACACUUCGUCCUUCUGAUUGCUGAUGUCUUUUGUUGUGAUGAAGAUGCAUACAAGAUGAGUGCAAAUGACAAUCCUAUCCCAGACCACAAACCCAGGUUGGAAGAAUUUACAGAGAUUGAUGCUCUGGCCAUCGCUGGAGAAACUGACUUAAUGAACGGAAGGGCCUAGCAGUUGACAAGUUUAUUUAGGAUUGUUGAAAUAUACCAAGGCUUAUGUUUUACAGAUCCUCUUUAGCCACUUAUUCUGUUGCAAUGAUCCCUGCUAACGUCAAAUCCUCCGGGCAUUAGCAGAGCUGCCACCACCACGUGUUUUGGUUUUAUAACAAGGUCAGGGAAACUAAAAUAUCUGUGCCAUUUAAGGCUUUUAUUGAGGAACUAGGCUGUCUGCUCACAACUCUUUUUCCCCCUUCAUGUCAGCAGUAUUCAAUGAGUUCUGUUGAGUCCUUAUCGUAAUAAUAAUAGCUGACAUAAACAGAUCCUCCAAGAAACCUGAGUAUUGGCUCAAUCAAGUCAGGAUUGAAAAACCUUAAAAAUCAUUGCUCCUUUGAUGCUUAAACUCCCCUACUCCCUGACCCUCUCCUAAAUAUUCUGGCAACUGCCCACUUUCAUCUAUACGGUUCAGACAAAAGCAUUCACGUUUAUACAGAUCUGGUGGUUCUGGAAUGAGUACCUGGCUCAAGCAGUUUCUGAGAAUGUGGCAUUGGGACCAAGAGAUAAAGUCAUUAAUCACUGGAUAACAAACUAUACAAAAUUAUACUUAUGUUGUGAGUCUAUAUUUUACUUCUUGAGUCUCAACGGCAAUUAUAUAGUGCUUGCCCUCAGUACUCUCCUGGUACCUGGACACCAGAAAGGUCAUUCAUGGGUCGCUUUCCCUCUUUGUCUCUGGUAAAUUGUUUUGGUUAAACUCAACAGGAACCAUGAUUUUGUCCUCAGCCAGGGCCAUUGUAUCAUCGUAACUGCUCACAAGGUUCUUUUUGUCACUGAGGAUUGUAGGACAUUUAUGAAUAAUCCCACAAUAAUUAGUUCCCUUCAUCUAAACACCAGCUAUUGUUUUAGUUUGGAUCUUUGAGUCAUAAAAUUUUUCUUGCUAUUUUUUUCUCAAUGUACCCUAUAUUCCUAUUUCCUGAGCAUUAUCAUCUGUGGUCUAGUCUGUUUCAAAAAGUGGUAAACUAUGGCUGCUGAUAGCUUCAUUCAUUGAAUUUGCAAUUUAUAACUACUUUCCAGUUCACACCAUGAAACGUGGGAAUGUGGGAUAAUGGGUCAUUUACUGAGUUGCUCAUAUCGAUGCUUAUACUGAAAAUGGGGAGGGAUAAUUCUAAAAUAUGUUGGAAAAGAUCUUUUUGUUGGUUGAUUGCAAAAAGCUUGGCAUAGCUCUCUGUUUUUUAGGAGCACUGAAAGUCAGGAUUGAAAAACUCUUAAAAAUCAUUGCUCCUUUGAUGCUUAAACUCCCCUAGAAUAUCUCUGCUAAGUGUGUGUCCACCAUCUCCUUAACUCUAGUGCAAGGGAAGUAACUACUUUAUAGAUAACUCUAUAUCAAGGAAACUAACAAGCAAGAACACAUCAGUAGGUUUCUAUUUUAAAUGAUUAUGAAUUGAAUGUUACUUUUCAGGACAGUUCAGAGAUUGUUCAGCUGUUACUCAAAAAAUAUAAAUCAGGAGUUCCUGUUGUGGCUCAGUGGGUUAAAGACCCGAUGCUGUCUCUGUGAGGACACGGGUUCAAUACCCGGCCUCGUUCAGUGUGUUAAGGAUCCAGCAUUGCUGCAAGUAUGGUGUAGGCUGUAGCUGUAGCUCCAAUCAACCCUUGGCCUGGGAACUUCCAUAUGCUGCAGGUGUGCCCCC
rnacentral:lncRNA from 9 species